rnacentral:tRNA from 1 species
GGAUUGUAGCUCUGUGGUAGAGCCCUUGUCUGGCGCUCAUGAGACCCUGGGUCGAUCCUUGGCACCA